rnacentral:ncRNA from 1 species
AGUACGAGAGGACCGGAGUGGACGAACCAAUGGUGUACCAGUUAUUCGCCAGGAGUACAGCUGGGUAGCUACGUUCGGAAAGGAUAAACGCUGAAAGCAUCUAAGCGUGAAACCAGCCUUAAGAUGAGGUCUGUCAUUCGAAAGAAGUAAGGCCCCUUGUAGACGACAAGGUAGAUAGGCCAGAUGUGGAAGUGGAGCAAUCCAUGCAGCUGACUGGUACUAAUAGGCCGAGGACUUGACUUA